rnacentral:rRNA from 1 species
UACGAAGGGGGCUAGCGUUGCUCGGAAUCACGUGGCGUAAAGGGUGCGUAGGCGGGUUUUUAAGCAGGGGUGAAAUCCUGGAGCUCAACUCCAGAACUGCCUUUGAUACUGAAGAUCUUGAGUCCGGGAGAGGUGAGUGGAACUGCGAGUGUAGAGGUGAAAUUCGUAGAUAUUCGCAAGAACACCAGUGGCGAAGGCGGCUCACUGGCCCGGUACUGACGCUGAGGCACGAAAGCGUGGGGAGCAAACAGG